GUGGCAUAUUCUACUCUGGGUGAUUGGAGGAAGAGAUGGGGAAAUCUUUUACACUUUGCUAAUGGUGUUUUAUUUCAGAAUAAGAAAGAUGGAACACUAUUGAAAAGCUCUUCCACCAAGGAGUCUCAAGAAAAUAUUGGAAGGAGUUGGCACUUUAAAAAUCUAUAUAAGUUGAGCCUGGUGUUACAGGCCUGGAACCACAGUAUUCUGAGUGGCUGAGGGAGGAAUACGUCAAGUUUGAGCCUAGCUGGAGCAACUUGGUCCACUCACUCAGCUUGGGUACCUGGGAUCAUAUGGACUCAGGAAGAUAAUUGGUGUAGGGCAUUGAAUGAGGAAGUAGUGCCCCAACUGAGGGAUCAGAGAGAAAGCUGUUGCCUCCUAUGAGAUGGAACGGUGAGGACUGGAGGGAUGACAGAGGAACGAAGAGAAGACAGAGGAGCAAAGAGAAGACAGAGGAGCAAAGAGAAGACAGCGGAUCCAAGAGAAGCAGAGCGCCUGCCAGCCAUCAUCUAGACUGCAUUUGGAGUUGCAUCUACCAUGCAGCCAACGUGGACUUCACACUGUGGGAGACCUGCUUAUCUAUUACACACCUCUGAGAGGAAUUGCUUGACCACAUUACCGACUAUUUUGCCUAAGUGCAUCUUCACACUCUUCUCCUUAAAACUCUAGAGAACUUGGGGAAGGUUUGUCUCACAUAGCUUUUCAACACCCAAAUAUCACAAAAGAAGAGGAAGUUCUAAGUGUUGUCUGUUGUUAUUAUGUUAUUGCUUGAUAAUGUUAGUUAUGGUGCGGAGUUUUGUGCAAGUGAUAUGGUUGUGAUGAGUAAGUGUCCCUCAAAGGCAUGUGUUGAAGGCUCAUGUGUUGAGAAGCUGUGUGAUG